GGGUCAAUAAAGAAAUCUUUGCCUUGUCUCUAGAGAGGUGUUGUCUUAAAAGUCUUGUGCAAUAGUGUUACGUUGAAGACC
rnacentral:snoRNA from 1 species